rnacentral:rRNA from 1 species
CACGUAGGGCGCAAGCGUUGUCCGGAAUUAUUGGGCGUAAAGAGCUCGUAGGCGGUCUGUUACGUCUGCUGUGAAAACCCGGGGCUUAACCCUGGGCUUGCAGUGGAUACGGGCAGACUAGAGGUAGGUAGGGGAGAAUGGAAUUCCCGGUGUAGCGGUGAAAUGCGCAGAUAUCGGGAGGAACACCGGUGGCGAAGGCGGUUCUCUGGGCCUUACCUGACGCUGAGGAGCGAAAGCGUGGGGAGCGAACAGG